CCAGAAAUAUUCCUUGUUCCUCCAGCUCCUGCACCAUGUUUAUCUAAGGAUGCCCGCACUGCAGCACGUACAUCCUCGUGACGAGACAUCCCUAUUAAUGAUAUGGAAUACUCCUUGGCUUUGGGGAACUGGUCAGCUAUACGAGCGACUUUCUUAAACACACGGUAGGAAUGGUCCGCUUUCUUCUGAGCGAUUUGCUCUUGGAAAAAUUCAUUGUAUGGGAAUAAAUUCAACUCUGUAAAGAUAAAUAAAAAAAGGACAUGUUACACAAAGAAAGAA